rnacentral:rRNA from 1 species
AGAGUUUGAUCAUGGCUCAGAUUGAACGCUGGCGGCAGGCUUAACACAUGCAAGUCGAGCGGGGGAAGGUAGCUUGCUACUGGACCUAGCGGCGGACGGGUGAGUAAUGCUUAGGAAUCUGCCUAUUAGUGGGGGACAACAUUCCGAAAGGAAUGCUAAUACCGCAUACGUCCUACGGGAGAAAGCAGGGGACCUUCGGGCCUUGCGCUAAUAGAUGAGCCUAAGUCGGAUUAGCUAGUUGGUGGGGUAAAGGCCUACCAAGGCGACGAUCUGUAGCGGGUCUGAGAGGAUGAUCCGCCACACUGGGACUGAGACACGGCCCAGACUCCUACGGGAGGCAGCAGUGGGGAAUAUUGGACAAUGGGGGGAACCCUGAUCCAGCCAUGCCGCGUGUGUGAAGAAGGCCUUAUGGUUGUAAAGCACUUUAAGCGAGGAGGAGGCUACUAGUAUUAAUACUACUGGAUAGUGGACGUUACUCGCAGAAUAAGCACCGGCUAACUCUGUGCCAGCCGCCGCGGUAAUAC